rnacentral:rRNA from 1 species
AGACGAACCGGACGAACGUUAUUCGGAAUCACUGGGCUUAAAGAGUGCGUAGGCGGCCUUGUAGGUUGGGUGUGAAAUCCCACGGCUCAACCGUGGAACUGCGCUCAAAACCACAAGGCUUGAGGGAGACAGGGGUGAGCGGAACUGAUGGUGGAGCGGUGAAAUGCGUUGAUAUCAUCAGGAACACCGGUGGCGAAGGCGGCUCACUGGGUCUCUUCUGACGCUGAGGCACGAAAGCUAGGGUAGCGAACGGGAUUAGAUACCCCAGUAGUCC